rnacentral:rRNA from 1 species
UGGGGAAUAUUGCACAAUGGGCGCAAGCCUGAUGGAGCAAGGCCGCGUGCGGGAGGACGGCCUUAGGGUUGUAAAACUCUUUUAGUAGGGGAGAAGCUCGUACGGCACUCAUCGCAUCAUCAUCGGCUGAUUCAGCGGUCGCGGCCGCGGUCGUACGAGGGAGGGAGGCGUUAUCGGGAAUUAUUGCGGGGAGCGGGGCCGUCGGGGGUGGUUCAAGACUCCUGUGGUGGCAUGCGGCGUGACCGCAGA